rnacentral:rRNA from 1 species
UGGGGAGUUUGGCUGGGGCGGCACAUCUCUUAAAUGAUAACACAGGUGUCCAAAGGUGAGCUCAAUGAGAACAGAAAUCUAUGUAGAACAAAAGGGUAAAAGCUCACUUGAUUUUGAUUUUCAGUAUGAAUACAAACCGUGAAAGCGUGGCCUAUCGAUCCUUUAGUUCUUUUGAAUUUUAAGCUAGAGGUGUCAGAAAAGUUACCACAGGGAUAACUGGCUUGUGGCAGCCAAGCGUCCAUAGCGACGUUGCUUUUUGAUUCUUCGAUGUCGGCUCUUCCUAUCAUUGCGAAGUAGAACUCGCCAAUUGUUGGAUUGUUCACCCACUAAUAGGGAACGUGAGCUGGGUUUAGACCGUCGUGAGACAGAUUAGUUUUACCCUACUGAUGAGCUCGUUGUCUAAACAGUAAUCCAACCCAGUACGAGAGGAACCGUUGGUUCAGAUAAUUGGUAACUGCGGUUAGCUGAAAAGCUAGUGCCGCCAAGCUACCAUCUGUAGGAUUAUGGCUGAACGCCUCUAAGUCAGAAUCUAUGCUGGAAUAGACGAUAAUCACCUUUCCCGAUGUGCCGCGAAUAGCGAUAGGUGUCUUCUGGACACCCAACAUCAUACAAUUGCAACGCACUCCGCUGCCUGUCAAGUACUGGCAGUGGAGAGUAGGCUGAUUUGU